rnacentral:rRNA from 1 species
AUGUCCGUAGCCCCACACGAUCGACCCACAAAAUGGGGGGUAAAAGCUCAUCAUGGCAGCAUGAGACCAGAAGAGGUCAGCAAUCAUAGAAACUUACAGCGGGACAAAACAGGGAAGAACAUGGAUGAAUAUGCCCUGACAGCGAAACGCGCGACAAAAGAUCUAGAGAUUGACUGUGAUGAAGUGGUGAUUGAGAUGGACGAUGUUGCGGAAGGACUCGCACAACUCAUUGCUAUUCAUGGCAUCACCAGGAUUGUAAUGGGAGCAGCUGCCGACCAACACUACUCAAAGGAAAUGAAAACACCGAAGUCCAAGACAGCGCUCAAGCUGAUGGACACAGCAGCUCCAUCAUGCAAGAUAUGGUUUAUCUGUGAUGGGCAUCUGAUAUGUACCAGUUACAAGGAAAAUCUUCUUGCAAUAUCCCCGUCACCUGUACAACGCACAACACCAUCUUCAGUGUGCAGAAUUUCGAGCCAGAUGAGAUCAAUGGCACUGAAGAAUGAAGAAGCAAGCUCAAAAGGAUAUAAUUCAGCUUCAUCGUUUGAAUCACAAAUGAGUGACUGGGAUUUUUUGUUUGGAGAUUGGGAAAAGACCACUUAUAUCUCAUCGAGGACAGAUGAUGCAGUCAGUAUAUCUGGAGCCACAACUUUACCUGUGAUUAUUGGUGAUGCACACAAACUAAGACAAGUGAAACACUCUCCAACUUAUGAAUCUGAUGGCAUCCACUUGGUGCCUGAAUGUCAUAUGGAAGAAGCAUUAAUUGUAGAUGAAGAAACACAUUUCGGACAUCAGGAGGUGUACACUGUAGCUGAGCUGUGGAAGGGACAUGACGAAUCUAACAAAUGUGACAAAGCCGCAGAUCUGCUUUCAGCUCUUCAAAGAGCUAAAGUUUCAGAAGAUACGUAUCUUCAUGAGGUGAACCAGCGGAAACAGAUUGAGGAGAUACUUACGAUACAGAGGCUGGAGAUUGACGAAAUGAAAAGAAGACGCUAUGCGUUACAUGAUGAACUACAGGAUUCAAAGAAGCAGAAGCUCAUGCUGGAACAGCAUAUCAUUCAGAUCGAGACUGCUAGAAAGGAUAAUGUAAAGGAGAUUACUGACUUCUUUACAGAAAAAUCGUGCGAGGAAACUAAGAAAUGCCUAAAACUCGAAAUGGAUCUGCUUUCAGCACUCCAAAAAGCCAGGGAGAUGGAGAAUCUGUACCAAAACGAGAAGGGGCAGCGGUUAGACAUGGAUGUGAAGAUUACGAGACAGAGGGUGGAGAUUGAAGAAACAAAGAAGCAUCGUGAUGAACUAUAUUAUGAGCUAAAAGAUUUAAAGGAACACAUACUCAGGCUAAAAAUAAUUGAUGCGCCUGAAGAAACUAACAGAAGAAGAAGGGCUGAAAGAGAUCUGCUCUCAGCUCUUGAAAUGGUUAAAGAACUAGAGCAUGGUAUUUUGCGUGAGAUGAGAAAGCGGAAAGCAGUGGAGGAGGCGCAUGCAAUUCGGGAGGAGGAAAUUCAGGCAAUGAUACGACAGCUGGCAGAUAUAAAUGCCAAAUAUAUAUCUGAUAUGAAGUCAGCCAUAAAAUUUCAUGAACAAGAGCUUGAAAAGAGCAAACACUUUAUCCAAGAAAUUCAAGCAAAGUAUGACAAGUCACUACAUGAGAGAGAUACUGCAGUAACAGAGGCUAAAGAAUUGCGGCAAAAGAAUAAGCAUGGAGCCUUGGUGUUCUCACUAUCUGAGCUGCAGCAAGCAACCAAAUGCUUUGAUAUAUCACUCAAGAUUGGCGAAGGUGGAUCUGGAAGAGUCUAUAAGGGUUUCCUCCGAAACACGACUGUAGCUAUAAAGUUGCUUCAUUGUCAACGCCUUCAAGGACAACAAGAAUUCCAUCAAGAGGUUGCUUUUCUCAGUACAGUGAGGCAUCCUAACAUCAUGAUGUUUAUAGGAGCAUGCCAAGAAGCUUCUGGUUCUGGCCUGGUGUACGAGUUCCUCCCAAAUAGGAGCCUUGAGGAACAUCUCUCUUGUAAGGAAAAGAAAAACACACCACCAUUGACAUGGCAAGUGCGCACCAGGAUUAUUGGGGAGAUAUGGUCGGCUUUGACGUUUAUCCACUCCCACAAGCCUCUCCCCAUUGUUCACGGUGAUCUAAAGCCGGACAAUAUUCUUCUUGACGCUAAUUUUGUGAGCAAGUUGAGAAUCUGCCAGGUUUCGAAAAAUCCAAGGGCCACAAAGAACACUAAGGAUCCCAAGUUCUUAACCACUGGGGAACUCACCCCACAGUGCGAUGUGUACUCCUUUGGCAUUAUCAUCCUACGCCUGCUGACAGGAAGGUCAUCGCAAAAGAUCGUUGUGACUGUAGAAAAAGCGAUGGAGAAGGGGCACCUGCAUUCCAUUAUCGACGAUUCCGCAGGGAGCUGGCCAUACCAACAGGCCGACCAGCUUGCGCGUGUUGGACUGAGAUGCACCAACUUGAGUGGGAAGCGCCAACCAGAUCUUAUAGAGGGGGUGUGGGGAGAGCUCGAGCCACUGAUGAAGGCCGCCUCCUGGAACGCUGGGCGGCCAUCCUUUGCAGCUUCGUCAGAUGACACACACACACCAUCCAGCUUUGUCUGUGCAAUCUCUCAGGAGGUGAUGCGUGACCCCCAGAUUGCAGCAGAUGGGUUCACAUACGAAGCUGAAGCUAUCAGAAGGUGGCUCGACAGUGGACACGACACGUCGCCGAUGACGAACCUGAAGCUCAAACACUGCGAUCUCACCCCAAACAGAGCGCUCCAUUCGGCAAUUCUCGAGUGGCAACAGCAGCAGAAGAAGCACGGGACAUGA